rnacentral:rRNA from 1 species
AGCAGCCGCGGUAAUUCCAGCUCCAAUAGCGUAUAUUAAAGUUGUUGCAGUUAAAAGCUCGUAGUUGAAUUUCGGGGUUAGUAGGUUGGUCAUGCCUCUGGUAUGUACUGGUCUCACUGAUUCCUCCUUCCUGAUGAGCCGUAAUGCCAUUAAUUUGGUGUUGCGGGGAAUUUGGACUGUUACUUUGAAAAAAUUAGAGUGUUUAAAGCAAGCUAACGCUUGAAUACAUUAGCAUGGAUGAAAUAAUAAAUAGCAUCCUAUUUUGUUGGUUUCUAGGAUUGACGUAAUGAUUAAUAGGGAUAGUUGGGGGCAUUAGUAUUCGAUUGUCAGGGGUGAAAUUCUUGGAUUUAUUGAAGACUAACUACUGCGAAAGCAUUUGCCAAGGAUGUUUUCAUUAAUCAAGAACGAAAGUUAGGGGAUCGAAGACGAUCAGAUCCGUCGUAAGUCUUAACCAUAAACUAUGCCGACUAGGGAUCGGAUGAUGUUAAUUUAAUGACUCA